UACGUAGGGUGCGAGCGUUGUCCGGAAUUAUUGGGCGUAAAGGGCUCGUAGGCGGUCUGUCGCGUCGGGAGUGAAAACUCAGGGCUUAACCCUGAGCCUGCUUCCGAUACGGGCAGACUAGAGGUAUGCAGGGGAGAACGGAAUUCCUGGUGUAGCGGUGGAAUGCGCAGAUAUCAGGAGGAACACCAAUGGCGAAGGCAGAUCUCUGGGCCGUAACUGACGCUGAGGAGCGAAAGCAUGGGGAGCGAACAGG
rnacentral:rRNA from 1 species